rnacentral:lncRNA from 1 species
AUAUAUAGUCUGGUAUUUAUAGUACCAAACACUUGAUACUAUUGAGUUUUCUAUCAUUGGAUCUACCCUUUGAUUAUUUUCAUCCGUUAGAUUAUACUAUUAAACCAACCACCCACUCAAUCCUAAGGGAUCACUAUCAUCCUAACCUUACAUUUUUUUGUCCAACGGUCAAAAAUUUGAUAGUACCAACGGCUUGGUACUAUUGAUAGUAUAGUAACAUAAUUAUAUAUAUAUAUUAUAUAUAGAGAGAGAGAACUAGGCUGGAAUACUAUUAAUAGAACCAAUGACUUGGUGCUAUUAUAUAUAUAUAUAUAGAAUUGAGCUAGAAUACUUUUAGAAGUACCAAUCCAUUAGUGCUUCUAAGUUUCUAGCCUUUGGAUAUACUCUCUAAUUACUAAUAAUCCUUGAAUCAAACACUAUUCCAUCGAUCACCACCCACCACUAUCAUCUCAACUCUACAUCUCUCUAUUUAAUGGUUAAAAACUCAAAAGCACCACUUCUUGAUACUUUUGAGAGUAUUCUAGCUCAACUCUCUCUCUCUCUCUCUCUCUCUCUCUCUCUCAAUAUAUAUAUAUAUAUAUAUAUAUAUAGAGUGAGACUACUAUGCUAUCGGAAGCACGAAGCCUUCCGUACUUCCAGUUCGUUUUUGAUGUUGCGACUUUCGAAUCGUCGAUCGGCUCCUUUAAACUUGAUCUAGAGUAUUAGAAGUACCUAGAAAAUAAAUUUUAUGAUUUUACGAUAUCAUUUGCCUAGUGAACGAAGUGACUCAAAAUCAACGGCUGAAAAUAAAAAUCUUACAAAAUGUAAUAAUAUGACAUUAAAAUUUUAAAUCAAAAAUAUUGAUAUUGUUUUAUAUAGUAUAAAGAAUUUUCUAUCAAAAUUUCACGUGAUUUAGAUAUUUCUACACCGUUAAACUUGCAAAAGGCUUACUACGGCCAUUGAAAUUUGUUGAUUUUGAGCCAAUUCGAUCACUAGGCAAAUGGUAUCGAAAAAUAAUAAAAUUUAUUUUUUAGGUACUCAAAUACUCUAGAUCAAAUUUAACCGAGCCGAUCAACGAUUCAAAAGUCGCAAUAUCGAAAACGAGCUUGAAGCACGGAAGGCUCCGUGCUUCCGAUAGCAUAGUAGCCUCACUCAUAUAUAUAUAUAUAUAUAUAUAGAGCAGGACUGCUGUGCUCUCAGGAGCACGGAGGCCUCCGUGCUCCAGAGCCGUUUUCGAUGAUGAAAUUUUCGAAUCGACGAUCGGCUCCGUUAGACUUAAUCUAGCGCAUUUGAAGUUUCUAGAAAAUAAUUUUUACGAUUUUUUGAUAUCAUUUACCUAGUGAUCGAAAGGAUUCAAAAUCCAUAGUUUUUAAUGGUUGAUAUCUGCCGUUUUCAAGUUUAACGAUGUAAAAAUAUUCAAAUCAGAUAAAAUUUUGAUACAAAAUUCUUUAUACUAUCUAUAACAAGAUCAAUAUUUCUGAUCGAAAAUUUUAGUGCUAUAUCACCACUUUUUAUAGAAUUUUUAUUUUCAGCCGUUAAAAAUUAUAGAUUUUGAAUCAUUUUGAUUGCUAGGUAAAUGAUAUCGAAAAAUUGCAAAAAUUAUUUUCUAGAAACUUCAAAUACGCUAGAUCAAGUCUAAUGGAGCUGAUCGUCGAUUCGAAAAUCCAAUCAUCAAAAACGGCUCAGGAGCACGGAAGCCUCCGUGCUCCUGAGAGCACAGCAGUCCUGCU